rnacentral:rRNA from 1 species
GACGAACGCUGGCGGCGUGCCUAAUACAUGCAAGUUGAGCGCUGAAGGUUGGUACUUGUACCAACUGGAUGAGCAGCGCACGGGUGAGUAACGCGUGGGGAAUCUGCCUUUGAGCGGGGGACAACAUUUGGAAACGAAUGCUAAUACCGCAUAAAAACUUUAAACACAAGUUUUAAGUUUGAAAGAUGCAAUUGCAUCACUCAAAGAUGAUCCCGCGUUGUAUUAGCUAGUUGGUGAGGUAAAGGCGCACCAAGGCGAUGAUACAUAGCCGACCUGAGAGGGUGAUCGGCCAGAUUGGGACUGGGACACGGCCCAGACUCCUACGGGAGGCAGCAGUAGGGAAUCUUCGGCAAUGGACGAAAGUCUGACCGAGCAACGCCGCGUGAGUGAAGAAGGUUUUCGGAUCGUAAAACCCUGUUGGUAGAGAAGAACGUUGGUGAGAGUGGAAAGCUCAUCAAGUGACGGUAACUACCCAGAAAGGGACGGCUAACUACGUG